AGUGAACGCUGGCGGUAGGCCUAACACAUGCAAGUCGAACGGCAGCACAGUAAGAGCUUGCUCUUACGGGUGGCGAGUGGCGGACGGGUGAGGAAUACAUCGGAUUUACCUUUUUCGUGGGGGAUAAGGAGGGGAACCUACCCCUAUACCCCAAUAGACCUUACGGUGGAAGGCAGGGGUCCUCGGAACUUUCGGCGUUUGAUUGAGCGAUGUCGGAUUAGCUAGUUGGCGGGGUAAAGGCCCACCAAGGCGACGAUCCGUAGCUGGUCUGAGAGGAUGAUCAGCCACACUGGAACUGAGACACGGUCCAGACUCCUACGGGAGGCAGCAGUGGGGAAUAUUGGACAAUGGGCGCAAGCCUGAUCCAGCCAUACCGCGUGGGUGAAGAAGGCCUUCGGGUUGUAAAGCCCUUUUGUUGGGAAAGAAAAGCAGCAGGUUAAUACCCCGCUGUUCUGACGGUACCCAAAGAAUAAGCACCGGCUAACUUCGUG
rnacentral:rRNA from 1 species